rnacentral:lncRNA from 1 species
AAUGUCAAAUUCAACAGAUAACUGGGCAGGUGUUUGGAUUCCAAAUCUUUCAAUCCAUAUAUCAAAAGAAAGAUCUAUGAGUCUAGUUUCCAAUGAAAUAAGCUUUGAAUAAAUCCAUGUUUGCAAACAGGGACUUAUAAGCAGUUCAGUAUCAAAAGGUCAGAAUCUCAGAAGUUGCACAGAUUCGGAUCGAUAUGUCUAAACAAGAGAUAUAUCAAAUGCAAGGCUAGAACAAUUCAAGUUCCACAUAUUCAAAUCAAAUGUAGAGAUCAAAUUACAGUAAGGAAAGAUCAGGAUACUUGCAAUAGGAAGGAUUAGAACAAUUACAGGAGGAACGAAUCGGAAACUUGCAAUAAGAAAUAUCAGAGCAAUUAUAGGAGAAACGAUCAGGGAACUUGCCUUUCAAAUAUUUUGAUCUGAAUAUCCAAGGAAGGUGUCAGUCCAAUCCUUCUACUUUUCCUCCGUGUCCUCUCUCUGUUUCGUUUUGUGCUCCCGUUUUCUUCCUUACUUCGCAACUACACCACGUGUCGAACAUCGAGGCACAGUCACCUGCUCUCUCUUACUCUUAUUUCUUCUUUUUCUUUCCCAAACGCAGCUGCCAUAGCCGCCGCCGCUGCCGCUGCCGCUGCUACAAUCACCGCCCCUUCCACCACACUACCUUCCUUCCUCCCUUCUCUCGC